CCCCUCCCUCUCCCCGAGACAUGUGCGCACGCUAUGCCGGCGGACAGUUGCGGGCUCUGAAAAACUGAUGCACGACCAGCUGCUGCUCUUUCUCCCCUUCCCUCCUUUCCGCUCCGCUCGGCUGUUCUCCUCCUCUUCGUUUUCUUCCCCACACUGCCUCCGUUCAUCCCCUCUGUACUUUUCCACCUUCCUUCCCCUUCCGACGUGGGACAUUGUGCCUUUGCACUUUUCCUCAGGCGGACAUGAAGGCAGGUCCUGUCGCAGGGAGAGGGCUUGUGUAAUCUCCGGCUGCACACGAGCAAAGGAGAGCUACUGCCUGGGCUGGAAACGCACCGCCGGCAAGGGGACCGCGAGCGCAGCCGGAGGGCAAACUUUGGGACAAGCGGAAGGAGGAGAAGAAGAAGAAGAAGAAGAAGAAGAAGAAGAAGAAGAAGGAAUAGCUCUGAAAGAGGGAGGGAGGAGAAGGAAGGGAGACACACACACAGAGAGAGAUUCAAGUUGGGGUGCAGGACACAACAGAGAGCAUGCCGGGCUCGGUGGUGGUGCUGCUGCUGCUGCCGCUGCUGUCCCUGUUGCUCCUGUCCGCAGGAAGUGAUGGCAGACGAAUCAGGAAGAGAGGACUCAACCAAAAGGACUACGAGUACCCCAACCACCCCCAGUCCACACAGCAGCAGAAGAAUGACCGGUGCCCGCCCCCGCCCCAGAUGCUGCCCGAGCGGGCCUGCGAGGUGCCCGGCUGCCGCUCGGACUCGGAGUGCGAGCGCCACAAACGCUGCUGCUACAACGGCUGCAUCUACGCCUGCCUGGAGUCCGUUCAGCCGCCGCCAGUGCUGGACUGGCUGGUGCAGCCCAAGCCUCGCUGGUUGGGCGGUAACGGCUGGCUGCUAGACGGCCCCGAAGAGGUUCUGCAAGCGGAGGCCUGCAGCACGACGGAGGAUGGCGACGAGCCUCUCCACUGCCCCACAGGCUACGAGUGCCACAUCAUCAACCCAGGGAACCCCGCCGCCGGCAUCCCAAACCGGGGACAGUGCAUCAAGCAACGUGGGAACUCCGACGGUCGUGGCUUGAGGCACAAAUACUACAAGGACUACAAGGACUAUUUAGGUAAGUGAGGAACCCCUUCUAACAAUGCAGUCGGCUACGAAAAAAAUCAACACAAGCACCUGGGAUGAAAUCAACCGUGACCUCAGCCUCAGCUGCGACCAGAACACAACCUCAGACAUCAGCCCGGUCAUCUCCGAUCUGCCUCUCGUCUCAACCCUGAACCAGGAGCAGGUCUCGCCUUUUUCAUUUCACAGCUGCUACCUCCUCUUUGCAAAGCCCCCCCCCCAUUGUAUUUUGCGGCCUCUCUGUUCUCCUGUCUCCGACGCACCUACACGUACACAGCCAAAGACAAAAUAAGGGCUUCUUUUGUGUGUGUGUGUGUCUCUCUGUCUUAAUAUAUGUGAAAGGAAGGAGCAGACGGUGUUGGUGGUGUCGGAGAGGAAGAGAGAGCAGGCUGUGCACCAAAGCUGUUUCGUUUCUUCAUAAAUCUCUUAAGGGUGUUUCUGCACACGCCUCUCCCUCCGUGUACCGCUCGUUCUUAUUCUCACACAUGGACAAACUCUCUAACCUGGUCAGCAGAGAAAAUCAAUACCACAUGCUCCAGUUUUUCCCUCUCCGAAAGCACGCCAUCCAGAUUCCUGCGAAUCUGCAAGGCUUUAUAGACAAAUAGAAGAAAUCCCCAGCAGCAACUGGCCGCAUCUUUGGAUAGUAAAAAAUCCCACGUGUGAAAUAAAAUUCAAUCUAAUUAUAAGAAUAAAUGCCAUAUGAGUGUGUGGAUUGUGUCAGUUAUGAAGGAUUUGGAUAGGAGAAAAAAUAAAGCUGUGGUUUCGGUUUUUAGACACCAGAUGCUGAGAUGUGAAAUCGCUGCUGUGAUAAGCGAAACUGUAGUUCAUUUUAAGAGAACGAUUUGAGCCUAAUCCACAUUUAAACCGAUACUUCACGUGUGAGCGAGGAAACCUUGAAGAGCCUGUAAACGCCGCCGCCUUCCGCAGAGGGCGGGAGUUUGACGAGGAAAAGAUAGAUUCAAAUAAUUCACUGAAACGUGAGUCAUGUAACAAAUAUCAUAUGAUUAUAUAAGCCAUUCAUCAUUUGCGUGUCAUCUGGUGACAAAUGUGGCUUAUCUGACAGACAAAAUGAUUCAGGCUGCCUUUUUAUUUUAAAUUAUCACGACGCCAAAUGUCGCCGUACAAGCAUAACCACAGAAAGGGCUCUUGCACAGAGCAGAUUUUUUAAAAACUGCUCGGAGGAUCUGUGUUACUCUCAAACGUUAACCUGCUUCGGUGCUUCGUCUCUGUUUUCAUUUGAAAUGGUGCUCACCUUCCUUGCUGCCUCUAAAUAACAGAAGAAUAAGCUGAGGGCGCGUAAAACAAAAGCUGAAACCAUUCUCCAAAGUGUGCAGAACUAAAGUAAUGUCUGAAUGUCGCCGCCUACCUGGUGCUGUAAUGCUGCCUUGUUUGUUCUGAAUAAACAACUUUUGUUGA